GGCUAGAGAAGAUCAAACCAAUGAAUUUAAAACGCCUUAGCAAGCAUCGUUCUCAGAAUAUCGAUUAAAUGUGAAGUUUUAGUAAACGGUAAUCAAAGGGCAGAACAGAAGUUCGCAAAUCAGGUUCCGUCGCAUCUGCAUA
rnacentral:ribozyme from 1 species